AGCGAACGCUGGCGGCAGGCCUAAUACAUGCAAGUCGAACGGUCUCUUCGGAGGCAGUGGCGGACGGGUGAGUAACGCGUGGGAAUAUGCCCUUUGGUACGGAACAACUGAGGGAAACUUCAGCUAAUACCGUAUGUGCCCUUCGGGGAAAGAUUUAUCGCCAUUGGAGUAGCCCGCGUUGGAUUAGGUAGUUGGUGGGGUAAAGGCCUACCAAGCCUACGAUCCAUAGCUGGUCUGAGAGGAUGAUCAGCCACACUGGGACUGAGACACGGCCCAGACUCCUACGGGAGGCAGCAGUAGGGAAUCUUGCGCAAUGGGCGAAAGCCUGACGCAGCCAUGCCGCGUGAAUGAUGAAGGUCUUAGGAUUGUAAAAUUCUUUCACCGGGAAGAUAAUGACGGUACCCGGAGAAGAAGCCCCGGCUAACUUCGUG
rnacentral:rRNA from 1 species